AAGGCUUUAAGUUAAAUAAACUAAUAGCCUUCAAAGCUAUAAAUAUAAGAAAGUCUUUUAAGCCUUAG
rnacentral:tRNA from 1 species